rnacentral:rRNA from 1 species
CAGCCGCCACGGUAAUACGUAGGUGGCGAGCGUUGUCCGGAAUUAUUGGGCGUAAAGGGAGCGCAGGCGGGCGAGUAAGUCUUUCUUAAAAGUGCGGGGCUCAACCCCGUGAGGGGAGAGGAACUACUCAUCUUGAGUGCAGGAGAGGAAAGCGGAACUCCUAGUGUAGCGGUGAAAUGCGUAGAUAUUAGGAAGAACACCAGUGGCGAAGGCGGCUUUCCGGACUGUAACUGACGCUGAGGCUCGAAAGCCAGGGGAGCGAACGGGAUUAGAUACCCCAGUAGUCCCUGUCUCUUAUACA